UGUAAAACUGACUUUUUGAGGAAGUAAAAGCAAAACUGUUUGUUAGAACAGCCGUCAUAAAACUGAAGUCAUCGUGAAAAGUGUUAUCAUGACAGAAUGCCUUAAAACUUAGGUGUAGAGUUACAGGCCUCGCAUGGGUAUUUACUGGGGUGAAAGCCCCCCCCCCCCCAUAAGCGUGGGCUGGGGCGGGGGCGGGGAGUAUGGAAUUAAAAAACAUUUAUUUUAGUCGUUGUUUGUGUGUCAUUGUGUGUGUAUGUGAGCCUGCCUGUGUGGGUGGGUGGGUGUCAGGAUGGUUGGUUUUUUUCUCUCCACUAUGUGGGUCCCAGUGGUUGAAGUCAGAUUUGGCAGGCUUGGUGGCAAGCGCUCUUACUUCCUCAUCCACCUCAUUGGCCUGGGGAGGGAAAUCUUUAUUGGUAAUUUGUUAAGUAUGUAGGGAACCUGUAGCUGCACCCUUAGUGUGUCAUGAUAUUAACAGUUCUGAAAAUGCUUCCCCUCACUCCAGCAGUCACUGGUCAAGGAAGUAGUGUGAAAAGAAUC
rnacentral:lncRNA from 1 species